AGCUAGGUCUUGAUAAAUAGCAGGUGAAUGACAGUGGCUGUGAUUCAAAGAGAGGGAAGGUUCCUAAGUACUGUGAGGACACAACUGCUCUGCAGGGAGCUGCCUGAGUCCCAGUGCAAUGCCAGCAGCCUCUCAUGGCAGAUGCAACACAGCUUCAUGCCAGCAGCAAAAGGGGAGGAGGGAGCUGGAGCCAGUAUAAGAUAAAUACUGGGAUCAUGAAGCAAAGCGUAUUCCCAAGACUGCAGUUCCAUUUGACCCAGAGACAUGGUGCUCCCUUCCUGGGCACAUGGGAGGAGAAACACGUGGUCUUGCCCAGCAGUGUGAUAGGUCUUAAAUGCAUCAUGUGGGGACAAUUCGCAAGAAAACCCGUGAAUCAGCCAAAGGUAAGGCUGCUUUAAAUACAGCACCUGCACCUUUUUCCUGCUCCAGUUAGCCAAGGAGGGAGACCACCUCUUCAGGUCUCCCACACAGUUAAACCCCACUGGACUCUUGCAGCAGGUCAGCAUGGGAAGCUGCACUGGGAGAGCGCAUUGACUGGGGUGUAUGUGAAGAGGAGCAGAUGCUGGAUCACAGGCACUCAAGAAGUAAUGUCACUGCUCAGCUGCCUUGGGAGAGCUUUAGCACAUCCCUGCAGCCAGCAUCAACACAAGGCAGGCUAUGGCAGUAAUCCUAGCAUCAUUUCCCCUUGUGGUGGCUUCUGCCAGGUUACACCAACAGCUUAUACCAGCUGCAGGGACACCAGCCUACCUCCUCCCCCUUCGCACAGCUGCAGUCAGGCAGGCGGGGGUACCAGCAGAUGUGGUGAACAGGCAGAGUGAGCUAGAAAACCCACCACAAAGAGGAACUGUGCAGUCCCAGUGCCUCGGCUCCACCUACACCCCUCCCUUUAGCUGUCAGAGGGGCCGCUGCACCAGUAACGCUGCAGGCAGAGGCAGGACUGCUGGCCAGCAUCAGAGUAGAUACCCACAUGGUGCCAGUCAUGAUGCAGCAUGUCUUUCACAAGCUUACAGUAAAAAUAUCUCCUGCCAGCGAGGCUUGGUUACAUCUCUCCAGUCAUCCCAGGCAAACGCUUCUCCUUGCAGUGCAAUCACACAGCACAGGUCUUCCUGGGACCACCACAAGCAGCUGCCUGUCCCUCCACCCUGCCACAGUGCUGCCAGGUAGCUCUCAGGGCUGGAAGAAAAGGGACAGGGAACAUGAGGGCCCCUUGCUCACCUUGUCCUCUCCAUCUCAACCAACAGUUCCUUCGUUCUAGCUGCUUUCUGAAGCACUGUCCGCAGAGCAGCACAGCUCCAUGAAAAAGGGCUCCCCACCCAGCACGGCUGCCAAACACAAGGGUGUCUGAUUUUAGCAGGACGAGAUGAAGCAGGGGGGUGUCCGCUGACCCCACAGACCUUCUGUUCCCAAGGCUGAGCACACAGGAGCAGAUCAAGGCCAGCACAGGCUCCCAGCGCCUCUGAAGAGCAGCAGGAGUGAGCAGCAGAUCUGGAUGCAAAGCAGCCUGAUGGGGCUGGCAUUUUACUUCCAACUUCCUUUCACCCAGGAUGCAAAGGUCACCGCACCUGCUGCCGCUUUGUCUGCCCAUCCUUUUUCCCCCCUGCCUGCUGGGAAGAAGGUUUGCAGGCAGGCUUUGAUCUUUAGCUAUUGCAAGUUGAAAUCUCAAGUGUCCCAGCUCCAAUGAGAUCCCCUCCAGGGCAAAGAACUGCUGCGGGCACCCUUGUGCAGGAGAUGGCAGCAUCCUAACAUUGCCAUCAGGUCCCCUACAGGCUCCCCAGCACUACCCCAGUCAUGAGGAGGUGCCCACAUCAUUCCCAGGCCUUUCCCAAAUCUCACCGGUUCCUGGUGCUGUGGCUACCCCAGGAGCUGGUGCACUUCCUCAGUGAAAGCCCCCAGGGAUAAACUCACUCAUGAGUCGUGGCCCAUUACAGCAAGGCUUGUGAUGAUGGAUCUGGAACCCAGGGAAAGGAGAAAGUGAAAAUAUUGUCUUUUCUCUUUGCAUUUUGCACCAUUCACUGAAAGCUGAACUUUUCUGGGACUCUGAAGAAGAAUUUGCACUUUGGGGCUUGAUAGGACACCUCUUGGCUGGUAUAUCUGCCCUUGGCUCCUAAAAGGCUUUGAAAAGUACAUUGGCUUGACUGUCAUUCCUCUUCCCCUGGUCAAACAGGGACCCAGGGGUGUGAUCCUUUGAGCACAGAUCCCUGGUAUAGAGCUGACUCCAGGCAGUGGUGUGACAAACCCUGCAUGGUGCCUCCUCCACCAUGGUCAAGGAGAAGAGUGUUAGGGGCAGCACGAGCCCUUGGAGACCAAAAAUCCUGGGGUUUAGCCCAAGAUCUGAGGCUGAACAGCUUGCAAGCACGACUAAGAGUCCUUCUUUCACUUUCCCACUGAUAAAGAAAGGGUCUUACUCCCUUCAUAGAAGACCACUGCCACCUCUAUAAAUAGCAAAGGAUCUUCUGAUGAGCUUGUGCUAAGUCUCCUCCUUAUGCCAAAGCUCUGUGACAUUCAAACACUGAUUCACUACAUCUUAAAUACAUCGUUAGGUUUUUGUAGGGGAAUCGCAGUCAGUUAUGAGGGUCCUGUAAAAUCCUCCUUCCCACAAGGUGAUCUUGCAGCCAAGAUGAUGGCGUAGAUGCCCCAGAAGGAUGGCAGGAUGGCUGCACAGCCCUGUACCACCACCUCCCUGCAGGAACUCAAUGGGAUGCUGAAGAUACAACUGAAGAGGUCCAGAAGCCUAUUUGCCAAAUCAGAACAAACACCUAAAAGCAGACACAAGAGAUUUAGACCGCUCAUUCCCUUGGCAGAUUUGGAUGGCAGUAGCUUCAGACUCAGAAGCAAGUCAGCAGAUUCCAACUUCCCUCCUCUAACCCACAACAGCCCUAAACAAUGCUCAUUGCUAAUCCCCAUUUCCAGAAGUGAUUUUGACUUCUACCCAUCCAUGGCCAGCAGUCCCACAAAGCCCACAGCCAGGAGCCCCUCUGGAAGAGAAACCAGUGUCUCUUUGGAGAGAGGCUCCCCUCCUUCUUCUGGUGUCUCAGAGAUGCUGCCUUGCCUGAAUCCCAAGAUUGCAGCCACAUUUCUUGCAGCCUUGAAAUUUUUACUGUGGAUGAGAUUUCCUAGCAUGGAGAUUUGUGCCAUGGAGAAAAGUAAACUGGGACAAAGUGGGAAACUCUGCCUUUCAGGUUCCAUUGCCAGCAGUCCUGAAUUGAGACAUGGUUGAGCAUGGAGGCUCCUCUGCCUUCCUGUGACAUGGGGAGCAGGAAGCUCUCCCAGAGCAAUUGCAGCAUGUUCAGCACACUGAACGCCUGCUCUCCUGAAUAGCUCUCCCUGUCCUUCCCCAGCACUGUGAUUUGUCCUGGGUGUCAGCGCAGCCCUCCCUGGGAGCCAUUAAGAUGAAUCUAAUAAAUAUAAAUAUGACCUUGAUGAUUCCUCCACCAGCAGAGGCUUGAAAGAAAAGAAAAAAAUAAAUUUAUUUUACAUUUCAGUAGCAGGGAGGACAUACAGCAAACGGCACUGCUGCCACAAAGCCACAUUUACAGUCACAGGUUUCAAGAGUAAAGGACUCUGCUGUCACUUGGCUGGCCACCACUGCCUGUGGUGAGGGUCACUUGCUCUGCUGCAGCCUGGGGGCGUCCCACACACCCCUCGUUAAGAUGGACCCCAUUAAGCCCCCACAGGAGCAGCAGCAACAGGGUGCAAGGGAGCAGGAUGUGGCCCUGGGAUGCAAGCACAGUGGGAGCACCACCAGGACCAUUCAUCUCCAUUCCCCAGGGACCUUCAGCUAAAAGGGGGCUUA